rnacentral:rRNA from 1 species
CCGCGUAAUUUAGGCAUAUUAUAAGCGGAGGAAAAGAAACUAACAAGGAUUCCCCCAGUAGCGGCGAGCGACAGGGAAGAGUCCAGCACCGAACCCCGCAGUGGCCUGUCGGCAUGUGUGUUUGGGAGGGUCCACUACCCGCGCGGAGUCCAAUCCAACUUGAAUGAGGCCCGGCCCGUAGAGGGUCCAGGCCCGUAGCGGCCGGUGGAGCGUCGGCGGGACCUCUCCUUCGAGCGGUGCUUGAGAGUGCAGCUCCAAGUGGGUGGUAAACUCCAUCUGAGACUAAAUAUGACCACGAGACCGAUAGCGAACAAGUACCGUGAGGGAAAGUGAAAAGAACUUUGAAGAGAGAGUUCAAAAGUACGUGAACUUCUGGGGUAAACGUGAGAAGUCCGAAAGGUCGAACGGGUGAGAUUCACGCCCAUCCGCCACUGCCCCCCUCGCAGAUGGGGCCGGCCGCCCGCGGGAGCAAUCCGCGCGGGGUCGUGUCCGGUUGCCUUUCACUCGCCGCGGGGUGGGGCCGUUCCAGUGUGCGUGGGCCGCACUUCUCCCUAGUAGGACGUCGGACCCUGGGUGCCGGCUACGGCCGGGUGCGCAGCCUGUCCUUCCGCGGGCCUCGUUACGUAUGUUGGGCAGAGCCCGUGAGAGACUGGACUCGGCGGUACAUCUGAGGAGUCGAUUCGCCCUUUGGGCCCCGGGCCCCCCAGCCGCGGUUCUUCCGAGACACUAUGACGGCCGGACCGCGCCCCCGGCUGGGAUGCUCUGGGGGAAUAAUCCUCGUCAGGGCGCUUCAGCUUUGCAAUUUCACGGUCAUGAASCACGGASCAAGGAGUCUAACAUGUGCGCGAGUCAUURGRCUGUACGAAACCUAAAGGCGUAAUGAAAGUGAAGGUCUCGCCUUGCGCGGGCCGAGGGAGGAUGGGGCUUCCCCGCCCUUCACGGGGCGGCGGCCUCCGCACUCCCGGGGCGUCUCGUCCUCAUUGCGAGGUGAGGCGCACCUAGAGCGUACACGUUGGGACCCGAAAGAUGGUGAACUAUGCCUGGCCAGGACGAAGUCAGGGGAAACCCUGAUGGAGGUCCGUAGCGAUUCUGACGUGCAAAUCGAUCGUCGGAGCUGGGUAUAGGGGCGAAAGACUAAUCGAACCAUCUAGUAGCUGGUUCCCUCCGAAGUUUCCCUCAGGAUAGCUGGUGCUCGUACGAGUCUCAUCCGGUAAAGCGAAUGAUUAGAGGCCUUGGGGCCGAAACGACCUCAACCUAUUCUCAAACUUUAAAUGGGUGAGAUCUCCGGCUUGCUUGAUAUGCUGAAGCCGCGAGCAAACGACUCGGAUCGGAGUGCCAAGUGGGCCACUUUUGGUAAGCAGAACUGGCGCUGUGGGAUGAACCAAACGCCGAGUUAAGGCGCCCGAAUCGACGCUCAUGGGAAACCAUGAAAGGCGUUGGUUGCUUAAGACAGCAGGACGGUGGCCAUGGAAGUCGGAAUCCGCUAAGGAGUGUGUAACAACUCACCUGCCGAAGCAACUAGCCCUGAAAAUGGAUGGCGCUGAAGCGUCGUGCCUAUACUCGGCCGUCAGUCUGGCAGUCAUGGCCGGUCCUCGCGGCCGGCCGCGAAGCCCUGACGAGUAGGAGGGUCGCGGCGGUGGGCGCAGAAGGGUCUGGGCGUGAGCCUGCCUGGAGCCGCCGUCGGUGCAGAUCUUGGUGGUAGUAGCAAAUACUCCAGCGAGGCCCUGGAGGGCUGACGCGGAGAAGGGUUUCGUGUGAACAGCCGUUGCACACGAGUCAGUCGAUCCUAAGCCCUAGGAGAAAUCCGAUGUCGAUGGGGGCCGUCAUAGCAUGAUGCCUAUUUGUGCUGGCCCCCGUUGGGCGAAAGGGAAUCCGGUUCCUAUUCCGGAACCCGGCAGCGGAACCGAUACAAGUCGGGCCCCUCUUUUAGAGAUGCUCGUCGGGGUAACCCAAAAGGACCCGGAGACGCCGUCGGGAGAUCGGGGAAGAGUUUUCUUUUCUGCAUGAGCGUUCGAGUUCCCUGGAAUCCUCUAGCAGGGAGAUAGGGUUUGGAACGCGAAGAGCACCGCAGUUGCGGCGGUGUCCCGAUCUUCCCCUCGGACCUUGAAAAUCCGGGAGAGGGCCACGUGGAGGUGUCGCGCCGGUUCGUACCCAUAUCCGCAGCAGGUCUCCAAGGUGAAGAGCCUCUAGUCGAUAGAAUAAUGU